CACAGAGUUAGCCGGUGCUUCCUCACCCGGUACCGUCACCCGUGUCUCAACACGGCGUUCGUCCCGGGCAACAGGAGUUUACACCCCGAAGGGCCUCAUCCUCCACGCGGCGUCGCUGCGUCAGGCUUUCGCCCAUUGCGCAAGAUUCCCCACUGCUGCCUCCCGUAGGAGUCUGGGCCGUCUCUCAGUCCCAAUGUGGCUGGCCAUCCUCUCAGACCAGCUACCCGUCGUCGCCUUGGGAGGCCGUUACCCCCCAACUAGCUGAUAGGCCGCGACGCCCCUCCUCGUGCGCCCGAAGGCUUUCUCCCGGUCCUUCCAAGGACGGGACGCAUGCGGUAUUACCCGGCCGUUGGGCCCGGCUACUCCCCCACACCCAGGGCAGGUCGCUCACGUCGUUCCGCACCCGUUCGCCGGUGACCGCGGGCCCGAAACCCCCGCCCCCGACUUCGCAUGUGUUAAGCACCGCCGCCAGCCGGUUCUCCGUCGAGCCAGGAUCGAAACUCCU
rnacentral:rRNA from 1 species